UACGAAGGUCCCGAGCGUUAUCCGGAUUUAUUGGGGUUAAAGGGGGCGUAGGCGGGUUAUUAAGUCAGUGGUGAAAGCCUACAGCUUAACUGUAGAAUUGCCAUUGAUACUGAUAAUCUUGAGUAUGAUUGAGGUGGGCGGAAUGUGUCAUGUAGCGGUGAAAUGCUUAGAUAUGACACAGAACACCGAUUGCGAAGGCAGCUCACUAAGCCAUAACUGACGCUGAUGCACGAAAGCGUGGGGAGCAAACAGG
rnacentral:rRNA from 1 species